GCUUAAAUCCAUCUCCUUCUGCUAGAGUAGGCAUGCUUUUUAUUCCUCAGAAGGUUUCAAACUUGGGCUUUCCCAGCCUUUUUACUUUUCUAACAUGUUAAGUAGAUUGAAUAGAUUUUUCUAUGUCAUUGACAAGUUUAUUGACUAGUUAUAGAAGUCAUUUAAAAAAUACCUCCUGUGACAUGAUUCCCAUCAUUUUCCAAAUUGGGAGCACCUACUGGAUACCGAUGGAUGACACCAGCCUUCAGAGGCUUUAGAAACCUUGUGCUUUUUGGCAAAUCCGACACAAUAUAAACAAUGCAAACUGCUUGUUUGAUAUCAAUGUAUGCAUUUGAAUCCGUCUCUUUUUGAUGGUGGAACACACUUUGUUUGCAUAAGAUCUACCAGAGAAGCUGGUCAGCAGGUUUUUACCCUGAACAUCCCUGGUAAUGGUAACUAGUUGGAAUUUAAGAAAUGCAACUUCGUCAGAAAUUAUUCUCUUCAAAAAUAUGACCUUAGAGACCAUCGGAUAAUAUUUUGGCUCUUUGAGUCUUUGUGACUAAUAUUAAACAUGGCAGGCAUUUUCACAUCAUGUCAGUCUAAACAGAGGGUCAACCCUUUUAUUCUCGGCUCUAUUUUUUUUUUUUUCUUGAGACGGAUUCUUGCUCUGUCAUCCAGGCUGGAGUGCACUAGGGUGAUCCUGGCUCACUGCAACCUCCACCUCUUGGGUUCAGGUGAUUCUCCUGCCUCAGCCUCCCGAGUAGGUGCCUGCCACCCCGCCUAGAUAAUUUUUGUAUUUUUAGUAGACAUGGGGCCCACUGCCUCGGCCUACCAAAGUGCUUUGGAUUACAGGAGUGAGCCACCACUCCCGGCUCCUCUUUUUCUAUAACAUGCUGGUUCUUCCUUGCCACCAGGCAUCUUGGCUAGAAAAGCAAAGAGGAUGAGGCAUAUUCUUAUUCAGUUUCCUUCUUAGUCACAGAGCAAAAGUUCUUAGUGUACGGGAAAGGCACAACACUCUCUCUAAGCUUCUCAAGGGCAGUUGUUGUAAAUCUAAUUGCAUUUUUCACCAUUCUUAGCAUUGGUGAGGUACACAUUACACUUUCUGAAAAUAAAUUUAGGGAGUGUGUUAAAAUAUAUGUAUAUGUGUAAAUGU
rnacentral:lncRNA from 10 species